UUCACAUGACUGGCGAUAUACUGCGAUUCAGCGCGGUAACAGGUGGACCUAACCAUCGGGAAGUGUGAACGUAAAACCUAAAAUGCCGUUCGCCUGGGCGCU
rnacentral:ncRNA from 1 species